CGCAGCUGAGGUGCCGCCGCCGGGUCCGCCAGAGAGCGCUCCGGCCUUUCAUUAUUUCUUAAAAUUCUGUCGAGUAUCGAACCGUAUUGACAUUGUAUCUUUGUUAAAAACAACAAAACAGUCUGUGUCUACUAGUCUGACAGCUCCAGUAGAGAGAUCUCCAAAGGGCCAUCAAGAACAGCUCUCUGCCUGCUCUUGUCUGCUCCAGCUAACUUCCAGAACUCUGUGGACUAGAAAUGAAGGAAGAGGAAGAGGAGGAGGAGGAGGAGGGAGAAGAGAGAAGAAAGAAGAAGAAAGUACAAGGACUGCUUUUGCAAACCCACAUGACUGUGAAAGGGAGAGACCUGGAAAAAUCCAUGCACCUAAGGGCCUAGGGCUACCGAGAACUUCAACUUAUUACUCUUGCUGGAGGAAAGUGGACCUUGCUCAGCCAGGUAGGAACCUAGGUGGCCAAUACCUCCAAUUUUGCAAGAGAAUCUAGAAAGAUACUUGGGUUUUGUUGUUGUUGUUGUUGUUGUUGCUAAAUGAGACGUUUUUCCACUUCUAAAUAUCCAGUAGGUUAAUUGAAAAUAUUCA